CCUACGGGAGGCAGCAGUAGGGAAUCUUCCACAAUGGACGAAAGUCUGAUGGAGCAACGCCGCGUGAGCGAUGAAGGCCUUCGGGUCGUAAAGCUCUGUUGUUAGGGAAGAACAAGUACCGGAGUAACUGCCGGUACCUUGACGGUACCUAACCAGAAAGCCACGGCUAACUACGUGCCAGCAGCCGCGGUAAUACGUAGGUGGCAAGCGUUGUCCGGAAUUAUUGGGCGUAAAGCGCGCGCAGGCGGUCCUUUAAGUCUGAUGUGAAAGCCCACGGCUCAACCGUGGAGGGUCAUUGGAAACUGGGGGACUUGAGUACUGAAGAGGAAAGUGGAAUUCCACGUGUAGCGGUGAAAUGCGUAGAGAUGUGGAGGAACACCAGUGGCGAAGGCGACUUUCUGGUCAGUAACUGACGCUGAGGCGCGAAAGCGUGGGGAGCAAACAGGAUUAGAUACCCUGGUAGUCCACGCCGUAAACGAUGAGUGCUAAGUGUUAGGGGGUUUCCGCCCCUUAGUGCUGCAGCUAACGCAUUAAGCGCUCCGCCUGGGGAGUACGGCCGCAAGGCUGAAACUCAAAGGAAUUGACGG
rnacentral:rRNA from 1 species